rnacentral:misc_RNA from 1 species
GAUGAAGAACGUAGCGAAAUGCGACAAGUAAUGUGAAUUGCAGAAUUCAGUGAAUCAUCGAAUCUUUGAACGCACAUUGCGCCCGCCAGUAUUCUGGCGGGCAUGCCUGUUCGAGCGUCAUUACAACCCUCAGGCCCCCGGGCCUGGCGUUGGGGAUCGGCGGAGCCCCCCGUGGGCACACGCCGUCCCCCAAAUGCAGUGGCGGUCCCGCCGCAGCUUCCAUCGCGUAGUAGCUAACACCUCGCGACUGGAGAGCGGCGCGGCCACGCCGUAAAACACCCAACUCUUCUGAAGUUGACCUCGAAUCAGGUAGGAAUACCCGCUGAACUUAAGCAUAUCAAUAAGCGGAGGA